rnacentral:rRNA from 1 species
AGUGAACGCUGGCGGCGGGCCUAACACAUGCAAGUCGAACGGCAACACGGUAAGCUUUUUCGUUUACGGGUGGCGAGUGGCGGAGGGGUGAGAAAUAGAUAGGAAUCUACUUUUUCUUGGGGGAUAACGUAGGGAAAGUGACGCUAAUACCGCAUAUGACCUACGGGUGGAAGCAGGGGUUAUUCGGAGCUUUCGCGUCGGUUUGAGCUGAUGUCGGAUUAGCGAGUUGGCGGGGUAAAGGCCCACCAAGGCGACGCUGCGUAGCUGGUCUGAGAGGAUGAUCAGCCACACUGGAACUGAGACACGGUCCAGACUCCUACGGGAGGCAGCAGUGGGGAAUAUUGGACAAUGGGCGAAAGCCUGCUCCAGCCAUGCCGCGUGGGUGAAGAAGGCCUUCGGAUUGUAAAGCCCUUUUGUUGGGAAAGAAAAACAGCAGGUUAAUAUCUGGCUGUUUUGACGGUACCUAAAUAAUAAGCACCGGCUAACUACGUG